UGGUUCAAAUAGAGUAUGAUUUAAGCCUAGUAAUAUGAAUGGAUAACUUAGGCACCAUGUUUGCUUGAUAAUAAAUUCCAUGUAUAACAACCCUCACAAUAGAAUCUUCAGAUCUCCUUUCUUGCGGAAAGAUCCUAUUAUAUCUUUCACGCCAAAAAGAAUACACAGAAGCUCCCAUUGCAAUCAUGUAAACAUUAGCACCUCGACUCUAAUUCAAGGGCGUUAGAGCUAUCCAUGGAACUCAACUUCUAAUUCAAGGGCUUUAGAGCUAUCCAUGGAACUCAAGUCCUAAUUCAAGGGCUUGUGGUUUCAUCUACUGAGCUAUACCUUAAGAUUAGGCUUAAGUAUACUAAUCUAGAUUGGUAAAUUGUAAUUUAACUAUGCUAUGACACUGUAAUGAACUUACUCGUGAGUAAUAAAGACAUUUAGUUGCUGAAAAAAAAAAGGCGAGAGAUGUAUUUUAUCGAUAGGUUAGAUUAAAAUUACUACAAUAUCAAACAUUUAUCAAGAUAUUUGCUUUUUAUUGGCUUAUGUAACCUUACUGUGUUGAAUAACUUAAAAUAAUAUAGGGAUGAAAACAGCGAGCUAGAGAAGGCACGAGGCAUUAAGAAGGCGAUGGGCUUUGUUCAUGUAUCUGGAUAAUACUUGAUGAAAUUUAAACUACUUUUGGGGGUUGAAGUUCAAGACAAGAUGCAAGAUUAGAAGAUGCACAACCUCAUUAUUUUGCUACGGAUGUCAUGCAAAACUUGAUAUCAUAGUCUAGCUCUGAAGGUUAUCUAACUAUUUUUUUAAGAAAAUGUUGAAACCAAAAUCAAUGGAUGUAAACUGAUUUUUUGAGAUUAAUUAGAUUUCUAUCUUUCUGGAUACAUAUAUCGAGUUUUUGUAUUGG